GGGACAGAUAUUACAGAUACAAACCAGAGUUGCAGACAAAGCUGUCAAAGUCCUGGAUGUUCUGCGAGGGGACUUGUGGUGUGCUUCCAGUCAGUCUGAGAAUCUGGAGAGUUGCAGCUGUUGUCACUGGAUGCAGGACUCUGUACUGCCUUCCUCUCUUAGCAGAUAACCGUUAGUGCCUGUGGUUUACCAACCAUAUAACACACCCAUCAAUCUGACAAAAAGACUAUUACCCACUUUAGUAACAUUUCACUGCUGAAUUUUACACACUGAUAUUAAAUCUGUUGUAUCCGACAUGUGCAGUGUAUGUGCUGUUGUUAUGAUGUGAGUGCAGAUCACCAACUUGGCAUGUUGUCUGAUAGCUCAGUUCAUUUUUUUACUGGCCACAGUCACUUGGCAUGUUCUGUUUGUGGCACAAGGAAGAAGAAACCUCGAGCAUGUGAGUGUCAGUCAUUUAGUGUGAAUUGUUUUAUCAUGGUUCACUUACUCUCACUGAGGAUACAUUGUAUUCAGCAUUUAAACUCUAGGAUUGUUGAGUUAUGAAUCAUUAAACUAAUAAUCAGUAA